AACGAACGCUGGCGGCGUGCCUAACACAUGCAAGUCGAACGUGAUUGAAGAGCUUGCUCUUCAUGAAAGUGGCGCACGGGUGAGUAACGCGUAGAUAAUCUACCUGGUGAUUUGGGAUAACAGUUCGAAAGGACUGCUAAUACCGAAUAAGCCCACGGAGUCUUUGGAUUCUGCGGGAAAAGGGGGGGACCUUAUGGCCUUCCGUCAUCAGAUGAGUCUGCGUACCAUUAGCUAGUUGGUAGGGUAAAGGCCUACCAAGGCGACGAUGGUUAGCUGGUCUGAGAGGAUGAUCAGCCACACUGGAACUGAGACACGGUCCAGACUCCUACGGGAGGCAGCAGUGGGGAAUUUUGCGCAAUGGGGGAAACCCUGACGCAGCAACGCCGCGUGUGUGAUGAAGGUCUUCGGAUCGUAAAGCACUGUCGGGAGGGACGAAUAAGGGCCGGGUGAACAAUCCGGUCCGACGACGGUACCUCCAAAGGAAGCACCGGCUAACUCUGUGCCAGCCGCCGCAGUAAUAC
rnacentral:rRNA from 1 species